UACCUAAACAUAACACCUUGAAAUUGCGAGUUAAAAGAAGAUUCUCACUUGAUAUUUGGGACAUAUAAGAAUUUGAUUACAAACCAAACAACAAUUAGGGAAACAUUUAUUUUCAUUUCCAUGAAAAAUCAAAUUUGAGGCGCAUUUUUUUCUUUCUGUCUGCUUCUGUUGAUCAGGCUCUCUUCUAAUUAUCCUUUUUUUUUUUUUUUUUUUUUUUUUCCAAAAUCUGAGGUCUAGCCUGGUGGCCAAUCAGUCCCCAUCCUUAUUCAGGCACAAAGCCUUGUCCACAAUGCUCUCCCAGAUUCAAAGUUCUAUUAGCAGCUCUCAAGGCAUGGUAUUCUGUAGAUGUUCUCACAGUAGUCAGUGGUUCAAUGCUGGUUUAUUUUCCUGGAAUGGAGUUCAAGGUUCAAACUGGGACUCAAGUGUGAUCUUUUUACUUUGUUUUAACAUGAAAAUUGAUUUAAAAAUUAUUUUAAAUGAUUUUAGAGAUUGUGUAUAUUUUGUAACCCAAGGGGUAGGGGAGCUCGAAUCCACUUACUGACACAAAAAUCUUACAUAAUAUUUUACCAAAUGAUGUGUAAUUCUAUCCACCACUGAAUGUAUACUUUACCUUAAAACUGGCUAGGAUUCCUUUAAUACAGGGUGUGCUAUAUUGUGAGACUGAGAUUUUUUAAUUAUGUAGAAAUAAAACCGAAUAUAAUUACUAUGGCAAAUAUUUUUAAAUUGUGGUAUAAUGCAAAAUUUUAAAAGUAUGCUUCAAUUUUUCAUUGAUGCCUCCACACUCAUGAUACUUCUCAGAGCAUGUGGUUUCAAGGCUGAUGCUUAUAGUUCUAUUGAAAUUGUGCUUCCAUUGAUUUUUUUUGCCCCCUCUGGUGUCUUAUAUUCACUCUUGCAUCUUAUAAUCACUAUACUAUCAAAUUUAUUCUUAUUUUUCAUCUUGUUGGUUCAGGAGUUUAGAAUUAUAUUUUUCCCAUUGUUGUAAACAUUGUUUCAGUCAAGAGUUGUUCAGGAUAUUUCACUUGUGAUAGUAUAAAUUUAUGACUAUCAUUAACAAUCAGUAUUUGUUAAUGUAAUCUCUGAUAGUAUAGCACAUAUUUUUAUAUUUAUUUCUUUAAUGAAAAAUGAAAAUUGACUUAUAAAGUAUUUAAUACUUUAUAUGUCUGUUUUACUGCAGGGCACUAAUUUUCAUAUGGGUCAUAAUAGCCUUAAAAUUGAAUUUAAAAUAUUUUAUUAUUAAUUUAUUCUGAACCAGUUGUAAUCUGAAAAAAGAGAGUAAAACCAUGUAUUACAUAUAACGUAUUCAAAUUCUCUUAGUUUUUUUGGUUAUACAGUGCUAAAAUCUAGAAGUUCUGUGUGGAGCUAGUAUUUUUGGAACCAUAAUGUUCUCAUGGCCUCUUGCAUUUUCUCAUUUCUCAAAGUGUAAAUAAUAGGAUUCAGUAAGGGUGUGAUAACAGUGUAAAAUACAGAAAGGUUUUAUUGCCCGCAAAACUACUGAAUGGCCAGGCAUAGAUAAAGAUACUUGGCCCAAAGAACAGAGUGACCACAGUGAUGUGGGCAGACAACAUGGACAGAGCCUUGGAGAGCCCUCCAGAUGAUCUUUGUUUCACAAUGACCAGGAUAACAGUAUAGGAGACAAGCAGCAGGAGGAAACAGGUAAAUGAGAGCACUGCCAGCAAUGACAAACAAUUCCAGGGUGUAGGUGUCCAUACAGGCAAGCUUAAUCACAAGGGGAAGGUCACAAAAUAUAUUGUCUAUGAUGUGGGGGCCACAGAAAGGCAAGUUCACUGUUAAUACCAUCUGACUCAUGGUGUGUAUAAAGCCAAUUGUCCACGAAGGCAUAGCAAACCCUUUCAGCAACUUGUGGCUCAUGAUCGUCCUGUAGUGCAAGGGUUUACAUAUGGCUACAUAUCUGUCAAAAGCCAUGGCUACCAAAAGAGUCGCCUCAGCACCUCCAAAGCAGUGCAUAAAGAACAUCUGAGCCAUGCAGCCCCACAUGGAGAUGACCUUGUGUUCAGUGAGCAAAUCUCUGAUCAUCUUGGGUGUGGUGACUGUGGAGAGACACAUGUCCAGGAAGGAGAGGUUUCCGAGGAGGAAGUACAUGGGAGAAUGAAGGGUGGAACUGAAUGUCACCGUGACCAUGAUGAGAAUGUUUCCCAACACAGUAGUACCCUAGAUCCAGGAGAAUGUCACCAAGAAGACAAACUGAAGUUCCCAUCCUACAGAAAAUCCUAGUAAAAUAAACUCGGUCACUACAGAUCCAUUUUUCAGAUCCAUUUACUCAACUCAGAAAGGUUCCAGAAGUUCUUUACAUACAAAGAGAUCUUUUUUAAAAAGCCACUAUUAGCACCGAUGUUUUCUGAUUUCUAUUUGAUGAAUAAUAGUUGGUGAUAUUAGAGCAUAUGAUCUUAGAUCUUUUAGGCAAAUCCUUGAAUUAGUAUUUUUCACAGUGAUGUUUGUGUGUUUUCUGUAAAUAUAGAUAUUGUGGUCUAGAAGUAAAUAUUGAUAUGAUUCAAUCCUAAGAUAUAGAUUUUGCUUUAGUUGUAAUGUAUUACAUAAAUCCUCUUUACUUAUCUUUUUAGACAUAUCCAUAAGUUUUAGGGUGGUGUGAUCAAAAACAAUAUAUAGUAAUUAUGUGAUUACUAUGUGAUAAGAUUGCUUGUGUUUUGUAUAUGUUAACACAUUUAGUGUUCAUAUAAAUCCUAUGAAGUAUUAUAAUUAUCCUAAUUUUGCACAUAAGAAAACUUAGCAUAGAUGUAUUAAAUGACUAACUCAUGAUUACACAGCUAACAGGGACCAAAACUGGUACUCAAUACCCAUCUAUCUGACCAGUGUCCAGGCUUAUAUCAAUACACAAUGUUGCCUGCAAAAUUAAAGGAAUACGUAUUUGGUCAAGUUAUUAGUAUUGAUCAAAUUAAUAUGUCCUAUUCAUAUAGAACAUGGAAGAUAUUAUUCAACAAGUAUGUUGGAAUCCCUGUAUGUAAUUAACUGCACUUUGUCUUUGUAUGGAAUGAAUCAAUUCCCUGUAUCUAGAGAAUUUAUCAUCUAGAGAGAUUAUAGAAGAAAAAAAAGCAAUAAAAUAUAUAAGAAAAUAUUUAGUUUAGUACAUAUAGUAUGAAAAAUGUUAAGAAUUUUAAAAAAUGGAGACCAAUUCCAUGUAUUACUUUCUAGAUACAGCUUCAAGCUUGGUUGUUCCUAUCUUCAAACCACUUAAAAAGUAAGUAGAGUAUUCCUGGUCAGUAAACAGAAAGGGUGAGUCUUAGAGAAUGUGUGAGCAUUUAUAAGAAGAAAAGUAUUAAUCUUGGGGAAGAGAAAGAGUGGUAUAUUUGGAGGAGUUAACUGAAUUAAAGUUUUAAAAUGCUUAGGAAGUGUCUGUUUUCUUUUCUCUAGUGACCUGUAUUUCUCUUCUCAUUUUCAGUUCUGCUUAGUCUCUUGUCAAAAUACCAUAUCACUAUUAUCCAACCUUAAUUCCCUGAAUUGCUUUCUUAGAAAUUGUCAAGAAAUGGUUAGUGCCUACCAAUUAGGGGAGAUAAAAGUGAAAAUGGUGUAGUUCCUGUAGGUCAACCUCCAGGAGUGUGCAGCGUGGGUGCUAAACAGUAGACUGUGGACCUGGAGGGGCACACAGAGGACAGCACCGCACCAAGCCUUCUAUGGAGGGUGGUGUCAGAUGAUUAUCAUGUGAGUGGACAGGAAUAUUGAUGGUGACACCUUUGUGACAGUAACUGCUAUAAUUAAAUGCAUCUUGGAAAAAUGACUCAGCUUGAUAACUAUUAGAAUGAAUAUGCCAGAUAUAAUUGGGAAAAAUUAAUUUUGCAUGAAUUUUUUUUAAUUUCCAAAAUUUUCUUUUCUAACUUUGUUAUUAAGCUUUGAGAAAAGUUUUUAUUGUAAUUGCUCCUAUUAAUGAAAAAGGGACUAUAUUUGUCUCAUAGUUCCUAUGCUACAUGGAAUUUUAUGACCCAUAAUACAAGUAACAACAGAAAACUUUGCAUAUGAAAUUAAUUCAGUUAAGCAUAAAUUGGUUAAGAGAGGUUUAUUUGGGCCUUUUGUUUUCUCUCAGAGGGAAAACUGGCAUUCUUUUAUGUUUUUUAUUUUCACAGCAUUUUUUUCUCUUAUCCCUCUCCUGCCUUUCUAUGCAAGUUUCUUCAAAAUAUUUAUUUGACCUGCACUUAAUACACCUGUUCUUAUAUAUUAUGAGAGUACAAAAGCAAUACAAAUGAAAGGAAAGAAAUUAUCAUAUAGUUUACAUAAAACUCCCAUUCAUUUAGUUACUUUCACUCAGUAGAUGAUGGACUCCAGAGGAAAUUGAAGGUAAAAUAAUAAUACAUGAGAGAUCAGAGGGAUCGUUAUAAUCAUUCUCCACAUCCUUUUUAGUAAGUGAAAAAUUGAGAUCUGCACAAUUAAGUAAAUCUCCUCAAGUCCUAGAAGCAGGACCACCCCAAGAAUAUGUGGUAAGUACUAGGUGAGAUGCUGUAGGUAUAAGCUCCUGGUUGGGCACAGAACAAGCACUGAGAAGGCAUGUGUUGAAUCUUAGUUAUUCAAGAUUACAACCCUGAGAAUUAUUUAUAUCAACACCUAUCAUUAGGAAAGUAAUGAGCCAAGACUAGUUCCAUUAAGUUAUUGGGUGUGAACAUUUCUGCUCUUGCUCAGAUGUAUACAAUACACAUCAUUUAAUAUAAACAUAAUUAAUUUAAGGAAAUAUUUUCUUCCCCUUUCAUUAUAAACAUUCUAAGAAAAUAAACAUAAUUUCAACAUUGAUUAUUUUUUAAAAACUAUACAUACUUAUCCUAAAAUACAAAUGGACCUCAAAAACAAUUGAAGAAAAAGGCCUAACACAAAGACCAUACGUUGGGAGUUCCCUUCAUGGAUCAGUGGUUAAUGAACACGAUGAGGAACCAUGAGGAUGCAGGUUCGAUGCCUGGCCUUGUUCAGUGGGUUAAGGAUCUGGCAUUGCCAUGGCUGUGGUGUAGGUCAUAGUCUCAGCUCAGCUCCCACAUUACUGUGGCUGUGGUGUAGGCUGGCAGCUGCAGCUCCACUUCAACCCCUAGCCUGGGAACUU
rnacentral:lncRNA from 1 species